ACGAACGCUGGCGGCGUGCUUAACACAUGCAAGUCGAACGGAGUACCCUCGAAAGAGAUUUCGGUCAAUGGAGAGGACUACUUAGUGGCGGACGGGUGAGUAACGCGUGAGGAACCUGCCUUUCAGAGGGGGACAACAGUUGGAAACGACUGCUAAUACCGCAUAACGUACGGGUAUCGCAUGGUACUGGUACCAAAGAUUUAUCGCUGAGAGAUGGCCUCGCGUCUGAUUAGCUAGUUGGUAGGGUAACGGCCUACCAAGGCGACGAUCAGUAGCCGGACUGAGAGGUUGGCCGGCCACAUUGGGACUGAGAUACGGCCCAGACUCCUACGGGAGGCAGCAGUGGGGAAUAUUGGGCAAUGGGCGCAAGCCUGACCCAGCAACGCCGCGUGAAGGAAGAAGGCUUUCGGGUUGUAAACUUCUUUUGACAGGGAAGAGCAGAAGACGGUACCUGUCGAAUAAGCCACGGCUAACUACGUGCCAGCAGCCGCGGUAAUACGUAGGUGGCAAGCGUUGUCCGGAUUUACUGGGUGUAAAGGGCGUGUAGCCGGGCUGACAAGUCAGAUGUGAAAUCCGGGGGCUCAACCCCCGAACUGCAUUUGAAACUGUUGGUCUUGAGUAUCGGAG
rnacentral:rRNA from 1 species